rnacentral:lncRNA from 1 species
GUAUAAUGGAAUAUUAUUCAGGCAUGAAAACAAGGAAAUCCUAUCAUUUGUGACUACAUGGAUGAACCAGGGGUAUAUUAUGCUAGGUGAAAUAAGCCUGACACAAGUAAACAAAUAUUGUGUGGUCUUACUUACAAGGAUCAUCUAAAAAAUUCAAACUCAUAAAAACAGAAAAUAGAAUGGUUGUUGCCAAGGUCAUGGAGAUGAAUAAAAUGGGGACAUGUUGGUCAAAGGGUAUAAACUUUCAGUUAUAAGGUAUGCAAGUUCUGGGGUUCUAAUGUAAAGCAUUUGUUGUGAUUGAUGUGUUGAUUAAUUUGACUGAAAUAAUCAUUCCACAAGGUAUAUGUAUAUCAAGCCACCACAUUGUACACCUUGAAUAUACACAAUCUUUUCUGUAAUUAAAUAUAUUUAAAAUAAAUAAGUAAAAAGGCAGGUACAAAGAUUUUAUUUUUAUAAAUUUCUUCCAGCUUUUUUGUAAUGGGGCUAAAUUACUUGUAAUCUAUUUGACCCUUUACUUAUUUAGCCUGGGACUAAUUAUUCACAAUAACUAGGAAAAAACCCUCUGAGGACCCUACUCAAGAAUCUUCAAUUAUGAAGUUUUCUACUCUUCUUGGAACAGAACUGCCCUGUGUGACUUUCAGAGAUUGUUUCUCCUCAUUCUUUCAGAGUUCUCAGUCUGGACAAUUCCCUUUUCUCCUGUGCUCAGCUCUGUAAACUCUGGUCCCCUUUACCUCCCUGGAACCAAAGACCCAUUUUCUCCAUGAAGAGACGCUGCCUGACUCCAGCUGGAUCCUCCAUUCCGCAUCAAUGCCUAGAAACUUUCAGACAAGCCAGAGCAAUUAUAGAUCUCAUGAUUUUUGUUUCUCAUAUUAGUGAUUUCUGUCCUUUAUUGCCCAGUGUUCAAUAUCUUUAGAACCAUUUUCUUCUUACAUUUUAUCUAGCGUUUUAGUGUUUUAGGCAUGAGGGUCUAUCUGCUUUUAGUCCAUCUUAGUCAGAAGUGGGAAUUUGGCAAGUGGAAUGUCCUACUCAUGUUUAUGACCUUUGAAAAUGACCUUUAUCCAGUUAUUUUUCUCAUUAAAUCAUCUCUAAUAAAGAUGUUAUUACUCAAUGC